UACGUAGGGUGCGCGCGUUAAUCGGAAUUACUGGGCGUAAAGCGUGCGCAGGCGGUUUGUUAAGUCUGAUGUGAAAGCCCCGGGCUCAACCUGGGAACUGCAUUGGAAACUGGCAAGCUCGAGUAUGGCAGAGGGGGGUGGAAUUCCGCGUGUAGCAGUGAAAUGCGUAGAGAUGCGGAGGAACACCGAUGGCGAAGGCAGCCCCCUGGGCCAAUACUGACGCUCAGGCACGAAAGCGUGGGGAGCAAACAGG
rnacentral:rRNA from 1 species